AGCGAACGCUGGCGGCAGGCUUAACACAUGCAAGUCGAGCGCCGUAGCAAUACGGAGCGGCAGACGGGUGAGUAACACGUGGAACGUACCUUUUGGUUCGGAACAACACAGGGAAACUUGUGCUAAUACCGGAUAAGCCCUUACGGGGAAAGAUUUAUCGCCGAAAGUUCGGCCCGCGUCUGAUUAGCUAGUUGGUGGGGUAACGGCUCACCAAGGCGACGAUCAGUAGCUGGUCUGAGAGGAUGAUCAGCCACACUGGGACUGAGACACGGCCCAGACUCCUACGGGAGGCAGCAGUGGGGAAUAUUGGACAAUGGGCGCAAGCCUGAUCCAGCCAUGCCGCGUGAGUGAUGAAGGCCCUAGGGUUGGAAAGCUCUUUUGUGCGGGAAGAUAAUGACUGUACCGCAAGAAUAAGCCCCGGCUAACUUCGUGCCAGCAGCCGCCGUAA
rnacentral:rRNA from 1 species